GCCGAAGUAGCCCAACUCGGUAGAGGCCCCAGAUCGAGAGUCUGGUGGUUGCGGGUUCGAAUCCCGCCUUCGGCA
rnacentral:tRNA from 1 species